UGCUCCUCUGGAUCAGUGGCGAACGGGUGAGUAACACGUGAGUAACCUGCCCUUGACUCUGGGAUAAGCGUUGGAAACGACGUCUAAUACCGGAUAUGAACCGUGGAGGCAUCUCCUGCGGUUGGAAAGAACUUCGGUCAAGGAUGGACUCGCGGCCUAUCAGGUAGUUGGUGAGGUAACGGCUCACCAAGCCGACGACGGGUAGCCGGCCUGAGAGGGUGACCGGCCACACUGGGACUGAGACACGGCCCAGACUCCUACGGGAGGCAGCAGUGGGGAAUAUUGCACAAUGGGCGCAAGCCUGAUGCAGCAACGCCGCGUGAGGGACGACGGCCUUCGGGUUGUAAACCUCUUUUAGCAGGGAAGAAGCGAAAGUGACGGUACCUGCAGAAAAAGCACCGGCUAACUACGUGCCAGCAGCCGCGGUAAUACGUAGGGUGCAAGCGUUGUCCGGAAUUAUUGGGCGUAAAGAGCUCGUAGGCGGUUUGUCGCGUCUGCUGUGAAAACGCGAGGCUCAACCUCGCGCCUGCAGUGGGUACGGGCAGACUAGAGUGCGGUAGGGGAGAUUGGAAUUCCUGGUGUAGCGGUGGAAUGCGCAGAUAUCAGGAGGAACACCGAUGGCGAAGGCAGAUCUCUGGGCCGUAACUGACGCUGAGGAGCGAAAGCGUGGGGAGCGAACAGGAUUA
rnacentral:rRNA from 1 species